ACUGUUGGAGAAUCAGUAGCAUAGUAACCUCGUGUGUUUGUAUCGUUGAUAUCUUCGUACCGAAUUCGUACGUGUGAAUAUGAGGAAUCGGAAAACAUCAUACUCUAGGUGCUCUCUGAAAUUUUUUGGAGCAGGCAGUAGACUUUUAAAGAGGUGGUCUAUCUGCGGAGGAUGAAUUUUAAGAUCCAAACUUAGAACCUCUAAGAUGAGCUUUAUUUCCAAAGCUGUUGUAAGGCUGGGUAAUCUAUCCAAUGCAACUAAGAAACCCUUCGUUGUAACUCAUCAAAUCACCUCUUCAUUAUAAUCUAUUCUAUACUUGCACAGUAUAGAAAAAUUGAGGUAGAGAUAGAAGAUGUGAAUCUGCAGCAAGAGCAAGGAAGCGUCGUGAUCUGGGCUGGAGACCAGCAUGAUAAAAUUUAUAACUAGAAAUCUAUACAACUACAAAGGGAAGAGCUAAAUUCUGCAUUUAAAUCGCAAGACAUUACCUCAAAAUUACAAACUCUGUACUACUUAUUAUGAAAAUGAAAAGUCGUUGCGAACGAAUACUUAUUCUUAUUCAUUCAGAUUUGCCCCCUUCAUCUAAACGCAGGUCUGCCAUUGACUAAUUUUGUGUGGUCGAUAAAUUUCCUGUGAAAUCCCUCAACAAAAUCCUCCAAUGUUAUCUCAUUUUCAUGAAACCCAGGCUGAAAUUUC
rnacentral:lncRNA from 1 species